UGAUUCAGCGGCGGACGGGUGAGUAAUGCCUAGGAAUCUGCCUGGUAGUGGGGGACAACGUCUCGAAAGGGACGCUAAUACCGCAUACGUCCUACGGGAGAAAGCAGGGGACCUUCGGGCCUUGCGCUAUCAGAUGAGCCUAGGUCGGAUUAGCUAGUUGGUGAGGUAAUGGCUCACCAAGGCGACGAUCCAUAACUGGUCUGAGAGGAUGAUCAGUCACACUGGAACUGAGACACGGUCCAGACUCCUACGGGAGGCAGCAGUGGGGAAUAUUGGACAAUGGGCGAAAGCCUGAUCCAGCCAUGCCGCGUGUGUGAAGAAGGUCUUCGGAUUGUAAAGCACUUUAAGUUGGGAGGAAGGGCAGUAAGCGAAUACCUUGCUGUUUUGACGUUACCGACAGAAUAAGCACCGGCUAACUCUGUGCCAGCAGCCGCGGUAAUACAGAGGGUGCAAGCGUUAAUCGGAAUUACUGGGCGUAAAGCGCGCGUAGGUGGUUUGUUAAGUUGAAUGUGAAAUCCCCGGGCUCAACCUGGGAACUGCAUCCAAAACUGGCAAGCUAGAGUAGGGCAGAGGGUGGUGGAAUUUCCUGUGUAGCGGUGAAAUGCGUAGAUAUAGGAAGGAACACCAGUGGCGAAG
rnacentral:rRNA from 1 species